GUUCUGAGAGGAAGGUCCCCCACAUUGGAACUGAGACACGGUCCAAACUCCUACGGGAGGCAGCAGUGAGGAAUAUUGGUCAAUGGGCGAGAGCCUGAACCAGCCAAGUAGCGUGAAGGAUGACUGCCCUAUGGGUUGUAAACUUCUUUUAUAAAGGAAUAAAGUCGGGUAUGUAUACCCGUUUGCAUGUACUUUAUGAAUAAGGAUCGGCUAACUCCGUGCCAGCAGCCGCGGUAAUACGGAGGAUCCGAGCGUUAUCCGGAUUUAUUGGGUUUAAAGGGAGCGUAGAUGGAUGUUUAAGUCAGUUGUGAAAGUUUGCGGCUCAACCGUAAAAUUGCAGUUGAUACUGGAUAUCUUGAGUGCAGUUGAGGCAGGCGGAAUUCGUGGUGUAGCGGUGAAAUGCUUAGAUAUCACGAAGAACUCCGAUUGCGAAGGCAGCCUGCUAAGCUGCAACUGACAUUGAGGCUCGAAAGUGUGGGUAUCAAACAGGAUUAGAUACCCUGGUAGUCCACACGGUAAACGAUGAAUACUCGCUGUUUGCGAUAUACUGCAAGCGGCCAAGCGAAAGCGUUAAGUAUUCCACCUGGGGAGUACGCCGGCAACGGUGAAACUCAAAGGAAUUGACGGGGGCCCGCACAAGCGGAGGAACAUGUGGUUUAAUUCGAUGAUACGCGAGGAACCUUACCCGGGCUUAAAUUGCAGAUGAAUUACGGUGAAAGCCGUAAGCCGCAAGGCAUCUGUGAAGGUGCUGCAUGGUUGUCGUCAGCUCGUGCCGUGAGGUGUCGGCUUAAGUGCCAUAACGAGCGCAACCCUUGUUGUCAGUUACUAACAGGUUCCGCUGAGGACUCUGACAAGACUGCCAUCGUAAGAUGUGAGGAAGGUGGGGAUGACGUCAAAUCAGCACGGCCCUUACGUCCGGGGCUACACACGUGUUACAAUGGGGGGUACAGAGGGCCGCUACCACGCGAGUGGAUGCCAAUCCCCAAAACCUCUCUCAGUUCGGACUGGAGUCUGCAACCCGACUCCACGAAGCUGGAUUCGCUAGUAAUCGCGCAUCAGCCACGGCGCGGUGAAUACGUUCCCGGGCCUUGUACACACCGCCCGUCAAGCCAUGGGAGCCGGGGGUACCUGAAGUGCGUAACCGCGAGGAGCGCCCUAGGGUAAAACUGGUGACUGGGGCUAAGUCGUAACAAGGUAGCCGUACCGGAAGGUGCGGCUG
rnacentral:rRNA from 1 species